rnacentral:rRNA from 1 species
GUGGGUAGGCUUCCCGCUUUACCUUUUAAAAGUCGAGCGGAAACGAGUUAUCUGAACCUUCGGGGAACGAUAACGGCGUCGAGCGGCGGACGGGUGAGUAAUGCCUAGGAAAUUGCCCUGAUGUGGGGGAUAACCAUUGGAAACGAUGGCUAAUACCGCAUAACGCCUACGGGCCAAAGAGGGGGACCUUCGGGCCUCUCGCGUCAGGAUAUGCCUAGGUGGGAUUAGCUAGUUGGUGAGGUAAGGGCUCACCAAGGCGACGAUCCCUAGCUGGUCUGAGAGGAUGAUCAGCCACACUGGAACUGAGACACGGUCCAGACUCCUACGGGAGGCAGCAGUGGGGAAUAUUGCACAAUGGGCGCAAGCCUGAUGCAGCCAUGCCGCGUGUGUGAAGAAGGCCUUCGGGUUGUAAAGCACUUUCAGUCGUGAGGAAGGUAGUGUAGUUAAUAGCUGCAUUAUUUGACGUUAGCGACAGAAGAAGCACCGGCUAACUCCGUGCCAGCAGCCGCGGUAAUACGGAGGGUGCGAGCGUUAAUCGGAAUUACUGGGCGUAAAGCGCAUGCAGGUGGUUUGUUAAGUCAGAUGUGAAAGCCCGGGGCUCAACCUCGGAAUUGCAUUUGAAACUGGCAGACUAGAGUACUGUAGAGGGGGGUAGAAUUUCAGGUGUAGCGGUGAAAUGCGUAGAGAUCUGAAGGAAUACCGGUGGCGAAGGCGGCCCCCUGGACAGAUACUGACACUCAGAUGCGAAAGCGUGGGGAGCAAACAGGAUUAGAUACCCUGUAGUCCACGCCGUAAACGAUGUCUACUUGGAGGUUGUGGCCUUGAGCCGUGGCUUUCGGAGCUAACGCGUUAAGUAGACCGCCUGGGGAGUACGGUCGCAGAUUAAAACUCAAAUGAAUGACGGGGGCCCGCACAGCGUGCAGCAUGGUGUUAUUCGAUGCACGCGAGACCUUACCUACUCUUGACAUCAGAGAACUUCAGAGAUGAUGGGUGCCUUCGGCACUCUGAAAGUGCUGCAUGGCCUGUCGUCACGCCCUGUAUGGCAAUGUAGCAUAGUCCCGCACGAGGCGCCACAUUAACCUGAUGCAGCGGAUAUUGCGAAUUCCAAGCAACUCCGGUUUAGAACC